GACGAACGCUGGCGGCGUGCUUAACACAUGCAAGUCGAGCGGUAAGGCCCUUUCGGGGGUACGACGAGCGGCGAACGGGUGAGUAACACGUGGGUGACCUGCCCUCAGCUCUGGGAUGAGCCUGGGAAACCGGGUCUAAUACCGGAUAUGACUCCAUGACGCAUGUUGGUGGGGUGGAAAGCCUUGUGCGGCUGAGGAUGGGCCCGCGGCCUAUCAGCUUGUUGGUGGGGUGAGGCCUACCAAGGCGACGACGGGUAGCCGGCCUGAGAGGGCGACCGGCCACACUGGGACUGAGACACGGCCCAGACUCCUACGGGAGGCAGCAGUGGGGAAUCUUGCGCAAUGGGCGAAAGCCUGACGCAGCGACGCCGCGUGAGGGAUGACGGCC
rnacentral:rRNA from 1 species